ACAUUUCUACAAUAAAAUAAUUUCGAUCCACAAGAAAGUAGGAAUAGGUUCAUCUAAUUGACCAGGUCAGGUAUCAAAUUCAGCAGCUCCUUACUAACUGAUUUAGACCAAGCCUGAGAUAAAAACAAACAUAAACACUUGAGAAUUCAUUCAAAUUGGUGGGCCUUGGAGUAUGUCACCUUCAAAAGAAAAUAGUUUUGAUUAAUAUGAAAUUCCAUCACAAGAAAACAAACAUAAAAAAACAAGAAAGAUAUUGGACCACUAAAAUGUGUGUAUAUAUAACACGAACAACAAGGGUAUGUUGCUGAACUUACAUUAAUCCUAAACUUACUCUCAGUUUAUCUAAACCAAGUUGAUGGAUAUUAACUUCCAAAAGAAGCAGAAAGGAAGGAUUCCUCUCUUGAGCAGAACAAGGAAAGCUCCUGUAAGAAACAAAAGCAAUGGCAAUAACAAAUUUGUUGGUGUCAGACAAAGGCCUUCUGGGAGAUGGGUAGCUGAGAUUAAAGACACAACAAAGAAGAUUAGGAUGUGGCUUGGAACUUUUGAAACUGCUGAAGAAGCUGCUCGUGCCUAUGACGAAGCUGCCUGUCUUCUACGCGGAUCUAACACGCGUACCAAUUUUGUUACUCAUCACGUCUCUUCAAAUUCUGCACUUGCUUCUAGGAUUACAAAUCUUCUCAACAGCAAGAAAAAUGCAAAACAUGAAUCUACAUCCUCAUCUACAAGUAGCAAAGUUUCAGCUACUGCUAGUAUUAAUGUUAAUGGUUCCAUUUCCAUAACUAAUAGCCCUACCAAUAGUAGUGAUCACGACUCUUCUUCAUUUUCUUUGUCAUCUUCUUCUGCUUCUUCUUUUUCUUUUUCUUCUUCUUCUUCUUCUUCUUCUUCUUCUUCUGGGAAAUUAGUAGAAGAUAGCCAUUUGUUUGAGGACGUGUACAGGCCUGAUUUGAGCAUUUGUUCAGGUUCUUCUCAAUCUGGCGUGGCCAUGACAUGGAGUUUUGAACAAGUUCCUGAUGUUCAUGAUCGUUUUUCAUUCUUGCCCGAGAAUUCAGAGAUGGGUCAGUUAACAGAAUUCGAGCGUAUUAAAGUUGAAAGACAGAUAUCAGCUUCGCUUUACGCUCUUAAUGGUGUGCAAGAAUAUAUGAACACGGUCUACGAUCCUACUGAAGAAUCUUUCUGGGAUCUUCCUCCUCUAUGUUCUUUGUUAACCUAGUAUUGUCAUUUUUCUGCUAAUUUUAUCACCUCUUAAUUAUACUCUACAUUUCCUCGAUGAAUUUGUCUUGUUCUAUUUUUAAUUUUUCAUCUAAUUAGUUUAGAACAAAAAUAUAUGUGCUAAUUACAAAGGAAAUUUUCUUUGUAUGUAUGUUUUUCUUGAAGGGAUUCAAAAUGCAGAAAAAAUGUGGGAAAUGUCCCCCUUCAAGACGUUUCAUGUGGAAACUAUUGGUUCAAAUGUUAAUAACAAAGUCCUAAGCAAAUAGAUUGAAUUUAAAGUAUAUAGAACCCUAUUUUUCAAAAAAUUCAUAUAUAUAUAUAUUUUUUCAAACUCAAUUUUAAUCAUAGAUUCUUUCAAUAAAAUAAUUUUAUAAUUAAACUUAAAUUUUCUCUUACUUUUUAAUCCAAAAUGUAUUUUCUCGAAAAAUGGAGCUCAAACAGAGCCAAUAUUUUAUGCAUAUUCAUGAACUAGCUGGGGUCAAACUCUUUACACCCAAGUAUUAUUGGUGACUUGGUACGGAAUUUUAGAGAUAAAUAUUUAUCAAGAUAGUGUCUCUCUUAGAAGUUGCGUGUACAAGAUACAGAAAAAAGGAAUUGAUAAGGUUUUUUGGGCUGCCUCACUAUCUUUGGUCAUUCGUAAUUGGGCUUGUGUUGCUGCUGUCGAGUUGUGGCCCAUGUAUGUGAUAAAAGCGUGUGCCUUAUAAAUGUGUCUUCACCCUUUCUUGGAUUUGUGAUCUGGACAUCUCCUAGCCGUUGAUCUGUGACAGUUUAACUUACUCAUUUAAAAGGCCCUUGACUCUUCACUUGGACGGGAUUAUUGUAAACUGUGUGUUCUAGGGUUUUCUCUCUUUUCUACCAUACCCUCUAUUCUUUGUGUUUUGUAUUCUGUAAUUUGAGUGAUUCUUCAGUUAUUAUACUUAGUGUAUGAUGGUGUGAGAUUGUUGAGUACGAAUGGUGUGGUUUUCUUGAGUGUUGAGAAUAGAGAAAAACUGUGAAGAAAUCUUUGAUUUCUUUGUACAAUUGUAACGAUUCUUGGUGAUUCUAGUGGAACUAGAGCAAUAUCUACUUUAUAGAUGCUCAACGUGGUGAGUAGACCUUGAAGGCUGAACAUCCAAGCCCUUUGUGGUGAAAAAUUCGUUAUGCUCUUUUUAAUUUCUGCAAUUUACUUUAGGUAUAUUUUUUGUUUUACAAACUUUUUUAUUUAUAAUAAUCUAGGACCAAGUAGUGAUAUCAGAGCUCAUUUCUUAAAAGAAUUUUGGUAAGGGGCUAAAUUUUUGAAAACUAUUGGAAUUUACAGAACUUGUGAUCCGUAGAGUUAUUUUGUGGGAGAUUUUUUUUAAAAGAAGUUUGACUGUUAAUCUUCUUUUGAUUCAACGAUCUGGUUGGAUCUCUUCUAUUUUGAAUAUUUUUUAGUAGAUCUGCAAGAUCUAUUGCGUUCUUUCUGUUUUUGCUUCCUUAAGAUUAAUAUUUUAAAAAAAAAAUCUUGUGACUCACUCGUGAUUCUUUGUGGUAUGCUGCUCCGUGCUGUGUUCUGGCGAUUUGUGACUUGACCCACUAAUAAGUCCUAGUGGUUUCCUUAAUUGGUCCUAGUUCGAUCGAGUUCUUACUAAGUCUUUGUGACUCGUUGAUUCUUUGCACUUGUACAUAAAUUCUUGGUUCGAUUUUGAUAUUCUAUAAACCCCCUCCUUUACUUCUGUUGAUUGGUGUUAAUUUCUAAAAUUGGUUAUUAAGGUAAGCGAUCCUCCAUUGUUUAGCUUUGUCCAAGAUCUCAUUAAAGUAUCUCGGAAUUUGAGGGAGUAGUGGAGUUAAGGGUUACCACUCCUUAAACCUCUUUCAAAACUGACUAUUGUGCUUCUUGUAUUACAAUAAUUGUGAUUUUGUCAUGCAUGCAUUAUCAUGUCUAUUACACUCAAAUUUGAGAUUGAAAUAUGGAAUGGUACUGGAGAUUUUAGUCUUUGGCACCAGAAGAUGAGAGCCAUGUUAUUGCAACAGAGAUGAGCUUCUGCCUUUGAUGGAACUUGGGCUGCUAAGACCAGUGUCUAUAAGAGACAAGAAUUAAAUGACAUUGCCUAGAGUUCCAUUUUCCUUCACCUUUUUGAUAGUGCGAUUAGAAAAGCUGGUGAGACUACCUCUACCGAAGUCUUGUGGAAUAAGUUAGAAACUCUUUAUCUAAUUAAAUCCACACCUAACAAAUGUUACCUAUAAAGGUAAUUCUAUAAUUUUAGGUUUGAUACUUUCUCAGGCCUAAAAGAAAAUAUAGACAAAUACAUUAGUAUAGGAUCUAGAAAAUUGUGAUGAGAAGAUGAUGAUCUACAGGUUGUUGCCCUGCUAAAUUUACUAAGUGAUAGAAUAGGGAUAUCAGAAAUGCUUUAGAAUAUCUGGGACAAGACCUUACUAUUGAUAUAAUAAUUUCGACCCUAGAAAAUAAGGAACUUGAACUAAAAAUUGAGACCAAGGAUUCCAAAUCUAGUGAAGGUCUACACAUAAGAGAAAGAUUGAACUAAAACAAAAGGAGUAAUCUGUGAAACUUUAACUUUCACAAGAAAGUGAAAUUUCAGAAUCACAAACUCAAAGAUAAGGACAAGAACCAAGUAAAGUCCAAGAGUUAGAUCAGAAAAUGUUACUAUUGUGAAAAAAUAGGACAUCUAAUGAAAUACUGUUUUAAGAAAAAUUUUGAUAUGGAUAACAAACACAACUCUAAUGGUUCUGCAGCUGCUGACUUCAAAAAUUAACCUAAUAUUCAGUGAGUUGUUCUUGUUAACACCACAAAUACAGACACAAAAGAGUGGGUCCUAGACUUUGAGUGUAUCUUCCACAUGUGCCCCAUCAAAGAUUAGUUCACCGAAGUUGUUGAACUUAAUGUUGGACAAGUUUAGAUGGAAAAUGACAUUAGUAGUCAGAUAAAGGGAAUGGAAAACGAUUGGGGAACAAUUACAUACUUGAACAAGAUAAAGUCAGGUACCUGAAUUAAAAAAAAAAAUUUGAUUUCUUUAGGAGAGUUAGAUGAAAAUUAUGAGAUAAGAAUUCAUUAAAGCUUUAUAAAAUUGAGUCUGAAUCAUAAAGAAGUUAUCUCAUCCCCCAAGAUAAAUGGAAUUUAUACUCUAAAAGCUGAACCUCUAGUAGGCUAUAGUUCUGCAGUUGUUAACUCACACACAGAUAAGUCUUUAAUCUGGCAUAGAAGACUUGGACACAUGUCUGAAAAGGGAGUAAAUAUCUUAAAUAAAUUAGGAUUUUUGGAGAAGAUAAUAUUGAAAAGUUAAGCUUUUGUAAACACUGUGUAAAUUGGAAAACAGAGUAAAUUACUUUUCAAAUCUAGAACCCAUAAAUCAACUGCUAUUCUUGAGUAUUUACAUGCUGACCUGUGGGGGCUAGCCUUUGUAAAUACCCUAAGUGGUUUCAAAUUUUAUCUACUUGUAGUAGAUGAUUUUUCAAAAAAAAAAAAUAUGUACUUUUUUUGAAACAAAAAUCUGAUACAUUUCAAAAUUUUAGACAAUGGAAAUUAAUGAUUGAAAAUCAAACCAAUAGAGAGAUUAAAGCACUAAGAACUAAUAAUGGCUUGAAAUUUUGUAUUCUCGAAUUUGAUUCAUUUUGCAAGGAAUCUGGUACUUUAAGACAUAGAACUAUAACAUACAACCUUCAACAAAAUGGUGUGACCAAGAGAAUGAAUAGAACAUUAUUAGAAAAAGUCAGGCAUAUGUUAUACAUUUAUGGACUUCCAAAAUUUUUCUAGGGUAAAGCUUUAAAAGUUGCUAUAUAUCUUAUAAACAGAAGUCUUUCAAGUGCUAUUGAUUUUCAAGUCCUUAAAAAAUAGUGGUCCAACACUAUACCUAAUUAUAACAGACUAAAAGUUUUUGGCUGUACUUCCUAUUCCCAUUAAAAUAAAGAAAAACUUUAACCAAGAUCUCUAAAAUGUGUUUUUUGGGGUAUGGGGAAGAAACAAAAGGGUAUAGGCUUUGGGUCAAGUGUCAAAAUGGUUUCAAAGUAAUCAUCACUAGAAUAUUGCUUUUAAUGAGAAUGAAUUUCCUUGUAAGAAUUCAUCUGGAAUAAAAUCUGAUGAGUCUGUAACUAUGAAAGAAACCAUUCUUGAAACUCGUGUAGAUGACCCUAAUGAUCAAUAGAAUUUAAUUGAGGUGGAGACUACCCAAUCUGACAUUAAUCAAGAUUUGAGUAAACCUUAAGCUGAAAUUGAAUCUAAUAAUCUAUCCUUUCUUUAUUGUCGACCAACUAGAGAUAGAGAUAGGAGGAAUAGAUUUCCCUCCACAAGGUUUAGUAAUGAUGAAUUUGUUACCUUCUUCUCAGCCGUAUACUCUCUAAAUUCAAAACCAUCAACCUAUGUAGAAGAUAUAAACGGUUCUAAAUCCAAGAUUUGGAAAGAAGCCAUGAAUGAAGAAAUGGACUCAUUUAUCAAAAACAAAACUUGGAUCUUCGUCAACAAACCUAAAAAUCAAAAAGUUGUUGACUGCAAAUGGAUCUUUAAGAAUAAGGAACGAGAUUCUAGUUCGGGAAAUAAAAGGUAUAAAGCUAGACUUAUUGCCAAAAGCUUUAUGCAAAAGGAAGGAGUGGAUUAUAAUGAAAUUUUUUCUUCAAUUGCUAAAUAACCUCCAUAAGAAUUCUACUUGCCUUAACUACUCAUUUUAAAUGGGAACUUGAUCGAGUUGAUGUGAAAAAAGUAUUAUUAAACGGUGACCUUCAUGAGACAAUUUAUAUAAAUCAACCAAAAGGUUUUGUAGAAAAAUAAAAAACUAACAAGCAUUGCUUAUUGAAAAAAUCACUCUAUGACCUAAAGCAGGCUCCUAGACAAUAGUAUAAUAGGUUGAACUCCUAUUUUCAGACUAGAGGUGGGCACGGGUCGGUAUGGUUCAGUUCUAAAGAGAAUCGAACCGAACCAAAAUUUUUGGUUAUCUAGUAAAUGGAGCCGUUGGGUUCAAAUAUAAUUAUGGAACCGUUUGGGUUCGAUUCCAUUCGGUUCAGUUCGGUUCGGUUCCGUUCAGUUAUGUACUGUAAUUAAACUUUUUUAACAUUUAUAACAACAUUAUAUAAAUACAACUAAUGACACAUUCAAUGAUUUUGGAAUGUCAGAAAUUAGUAGACUACCUUGUUCAAAUGAUCGUUAUGGUCAAAGCUUCUGUAAGCGGAGGUCACAGUUUCAAUCGGAGGUUACAAUAUCGACCGACGAUUGUAUAGGUUUUGAAAUGUCAGCGAGGCUACGAGAGUGAGUGCGAGAGUCGAGACAGUGUUAUGCACUUUAGAAUAGGUGUUUAAGGUUAUUUAAUGGAUUGGAUAUUGUUGGGCUUAGAAAUGAAACAAUAAAAUGGGUAAUUGGGCCAAAAAUUAAAAAAUUAGAAAUGAAACAAAUUAUUGGGACAAAAAUUUGGAUUUAGAAAUUGUUAAUUUGUUUAGAAAAAAUUAAAAUUAAAAUAAUUUGAUUUAUUCAAUAUAAAAAAAAAUUAGAAAGAUUCGAUUCUUGGUCUAGAAUCGAGAACCGAACCGUACCCAUCGGUUCUCAAUUCAGAUACCCGUUCGGAUAUUUAAUUUGACAAGAACCAUCAGGUUCGGUUCGGGUUCGGUUAAGGAGAUUUGCUCAGCCCUAUUUCAAACCUUGAGCUUUGUUAAGAGCAAUUAUGAUUCUUGUUUCCUUUUCAAAGGGUCAGGAGGACCUGAAUCCAUUUAUUUGUUAUUAUAUGUUGAUGACAUGUUAUUUAUUUUGUCCUAAAAGAUCUGAAAUUGACCACAUUAAAUCAAGAUUAAAAUUUGAAUUUGAAACGAAAGAUCUAGGACAAGCUAAGACGAUCCUUGGAAUAGAAUUAGUAACAAAUAGGAAAGACUGUACCUUAUGUUUAAAAUAUCAUGUGAAGAAGAUUAUUGAAAAAAUUUCUAUGACUGACAGUAAACCCGUUUCUUUGUCAAUUGUAAAUCAUUUUAAACUAUCAAAUAAAUAGUCAUAAAAAACUGACGAAGAAUUCAAAAGAAUGAAAAAUGUACCAUAUGCAAAUGCUGUAGGGUCUAUAAUGUAUCUUAUGGUAUGCACUAGACCAGAUUUGGCUCAUGGAAUAAAUAUACUAAGUAGGUUUAUGGCUAACCCUUUUGAAACACAUUAGCUGGCUAUGAAAAUGGAUGAUAAAAUAUUUAAAAGGUUCAUAUAAAUUAGGUUGACUGUUUAAAAGAUGUAAUAAAGGCAUAAUCCCUAAAGGUUACACUGAUUCAGAUUUUACUGGAAAUUUAGACGAAAGGAGAUCCAUUUCAUCUUAUGUUUUUGCCUUGUGUGAUGGAUGCAUUAGUUGGAAAUUACAACUACUAAAGUUAGUUACUUUAUCCUCUAUAGAGGCAAAAUAUAUAGCUGCCUAUGAUGUUGUUAAAGAAAGUCUUUGGCUAAGAUGAUUGCUAAAUGAAAUUGGUUUCAUGAAUAAUUAUGUUGGAAUUUAUAAUGAUAAUCAAAGUGCAAUUCAUCUAAGCAAGAAUCCUAUGUUGAUUCAUGAUCGAACAAAAUAUGUUGACAUUAAGUUUCACUUUGUGAGAAAUAUGGCUGCGAAAGGCCUGAUUAGUCUACUGAAAAUUCUUACGGAUUUUAAUUCCUCGGAUGUAGGAACCAAGGUACUGUCCUUGAGUAAAUUCAAAAACUGCUUGAAGAUUCUAAACAUCACUUGAAAGGUAGUAAGUCUAGAAUAAUCAAGUCGUAUUGUUUUGAACUUGUAGUAAUUUUUUGGUUUUUUCUUUCUCAGGUACGUAAGAGCAGAUGAAACAAGUUGAUAUCUGGACACUAGUAUUUACCAAGAAUAGUUCAACAAGGUGGAGAUUGAUAAGGUUUUUUGGGCUGCCUCAUUACACUUGGUCCUUAGAAAUUAGAAUGCAUUGCUACUUUCGGGUUGUGGCCCACGUAUGUGCUAAAAGCGUGUGCCUUAUAAUCGCGUCUUUACCCUUUCUUGGAUUUCUAAUCUGGCUAUCUCCCAGCCGUUGAUCUGUGGCGAUUUGCCUUACUCAUUUAAAAGGCCCUCAACUCUUCACUUGGACGAGAUUACUGUGAACUGUGUGCUUUAGGGUUUUCUCUCUUCUCUGUCAUACCGUCUAUUCUUUGUGUUUUGUACUCCGUAAAUUGAAUCAUUCUUCAGAUAUUAUACUUAGUGUAUGAUUGUGUGAGAUUGUUGAAUACUAAUGGUGUGGUUUUCUUGAGUGUUGAGGCAAGAGAGAAACUGUAAAGAAAUCUCUGAUUUCUUCGUACAUUUGUAACGAUUUUUGGUGAUUCCAGUAGAACUAGAGUAAUAUUUACUUUGUGGAUGCUCAACGUGGUGAGCAAACUUUGAAAGUUAAAUGAUAAGUGUGAUUUUGCACACUUAUUUAGGUCACAAACAUGAUUUAAUUAUGAAUAAAAUGAUCGAAUUGUGACUUAAUUUCAUUAUAUUUGUGAAUUGUAGGUAACACCGAUGAACAUGGUGAAAUACACGAGAAAAGACGCGAAAAAGGACUAAAAUGACACAAAGUGAAAGUUCAAGGACCAAGAUGCAAUUACUCAAAAGUUGACCCGAUGAACAAAUACGAAUUGAUGACAUUUUGGGAUAAUAGAAUGUGAAGAAUGAAGAAAAGAUGUAAAAAAGUGGAGGAUUAAAAUGAAGGGACCAAAUUGCAGGAAUUGAAAGAUGAUUUCUACCAUGCGGUCGCAUGGUAGAAAAACCGUGCGGCCACACGAAGUGAUGCAGGGUUUAAAAAUAAAAAAAGAUGAUAACCAUGCGGCCGGACGGAUUAAAACCAUGCGGUCGCAUGGUACAAAUUCGGCGCAAAAAAUUUUCUUUCCUUGUACGAUUGAAACACCUAUGGUAACCUAAUUUUCCACGGCAUAUAAAUACCGAAAACAUUACAGAGAUGCCGAGAACGUAAUUGGAGGUCGAAAAACAAUUCUUGAAGAGGAUUUGAGCGCAAGAACAAAGAUUGACACGAAAAACUUCAAGAUUUAUCCAACCCGGUGAUGUCUUAUAUACAAACUUUAAUGUAUUUUGUUAUUUUGAGCAUGCUAGGCUAGAUUUAUUUAUGCUAGGAGAUCGAUGAACCAUGUGAAUUGAAGUUUAAUAUUCUAGUUUUGCAAUUUGAUAUAAAACACAAUUUCUAUUAUGUUGAAUGAUUUAUAUGCAAUUAAAUGUUUCCGCAAUUAAGAGCUCAUAAUUGUGUGAAUUUAAGUGAUUUAUUCUUGCAUUCGAGAGAAUUGGAAUAGAUUUGACAUAGUAUAAAUCAUCGUAGGGUUUGAUAGUGGAUAGAAAUAUACCGCUAUGCUCUAUGUGAAUCUUUAAUUGUUCAUAAAAUUUCAUGUAUUUUUACAUAUUGUCUUGUCAUAGAAUGUUUCCGCAAUUAAGAGCUCAUAAUUGUGUGAAUUUAAGUGAUUUAUUCUUGCAUUCGAGAGAAUUGGAAUAGAUUUGACAUAGUAUAAAUCAUCGUAGGGUUUGAUAGUGGAUAGAAAUAUACCGCUAUACUCUAUGUGAAUCUUUAAUUGUUCAUAAAAUUUCAUGUAUUUUUACAUAUUGUCUUGUCAUAGAAAUAUACACCGGUGGUGUGUAGAAAUAGGUUUGAUACAUCUCGAGAGAGAGUAUUGAAUAAACUUAGGAACAUUGAUUCGUCAAAAUCGAAAUGUGAUUUCAUAUUGUGAAACUAGGGUUUAAAUUGAUAAUUGCAUGGGAAUUCGUGAUCCUAGCGUAUUUCAUUCCCAAUAAUUAUAACAAGUGCGUUUUCAACUUUUAGACUUCAUUCUCGAGUUUAAUUUAUUGUUUUGCAUAUUAAUUUCAAUUUAAUCAUAAGUCAAAAAUUGCAUAAUUGAGGUUCAAUUAGGUCUACAUCCAUUUUGGUAAUUUAGUUUCGGUUAAGGCUAAGAUAGAUAAGAUUUGAACUAAUCAAUCUCUGUAGGACGAUAUUCGGACUCAUUGAAUCCACUUUAUUACUUGUUAACGAACCGUACACUUGCGGUGGUCUAAAAUCGAAAGAAAUAAUUUCACGAAUAUUAAACAUCCGAGCCCUUUGUGGUGAAAAAUUCGUUGUCUUCUUCUUGUUAAUUUUUACAAUUUACUUUUGGUAUAUUUUUUGGGGUAAUUAGCACAAAACAUCCCUACCUUUCGAUAUUUUUGUGGAAAACGUCCAUACCUUUCAUUUUUUGGUGGAUUACACCCUUACCUUUACAUUUUUUUGCGCAAAACGUCCUUCUGUCAACUCUCCGUUAAAAUGCUCCGUUAAAUCGAAAAGGUAAUUAGCACAAAAGGUCCCUACCUUUCAAAGUUAUUGUGCAAAACGUCCCUACCUUUUAUUUUUUAGCAUAAUUAGCAGAAAAGGUCCCUACCUUUCAAUAUUAUUGUGCAAAACGUCCAUACCUUUCAUUUUUAGCAUUUUCACCCCUACCUUUCACCUUUCAUUGCAAAAAAGGUCAUUCUCAUCCAUUUUUUCAAUAAAAUGACGAUUUUUCCCUCCUAUUGAAAUAAAACAAAAAGAAAAGAAAAAAAUAAUUAAUUAAUUACAAUCAUAGUUCUAAAUCUUUCAAAACAUUACAGAUAAAUCCUAAAUUCUCCACUACCGUCACUUUUACAACCCCACCAAGCCACCACCUAUAGAUCCAUAUAGCACCACUUUUCGACCACAACACAUAGGACUCCACCACCACCAGCGUCGCCUCACUCUCCCCAAUAUCCUCCUCCAUAGUAUUGGUCACCAAUCUGUCCGAAACAACCACAUUUACGAUGGUGGAGUCCGGUGGGCAUGGUGGCCGAAAGGUGGUAUUAUGUGGAUUUAUAGUUGGCAGCUUGAUAGGUUGUGAAAAUGGUGGUGGUUGAGAAUUUUUGAUUUUUUGUAAUUUUUUAAAAAUUUAAGGAUUAUGGUUGCAGUUGGUAAUUCAUCCUUUCUUUUUGUUUUAUUUAAAUAGGAGGGUAAAAUCGUCAUUUUAUUGAAAAAAUGGAUGAGAAUGACCUUUUUUGCAAUGAAAGGUGAAAAUGCUAAAAAUGAAAAGUAGGGACGUUUUGCACAAUAAUAUUGAAAGGUAGGGACCUUUUCUGCUAAUUAUGCUAAAAAAUAAAAGGUAAGGACGUUUUGCACAAUAACUUUGAAAGGUAGGGACCUUUUGUGCUAAUUACCUUUUUGAUUUAACGGAGCAUUUUAACGGAGAGUUGACAAAAGGACGUUUUGCGCAAAAAAAUGUAAAGGUAAAGGUGUAAUCCACCAAAAAAUGAAAGAUAAGGACGUUUUCCACAAAAACAUCGAAAGGUAGGGAUGUUUUGUGCUAAUUACCCUAUUUUUUGUUUUACAAACUUUCGAUUCAUAAUAAUAUGAGACCAACAGGAAUUUGUAUUAAUAUCUUGAAAUUGAAGUUCCAUGGUUUUUAGUUACAUUUUCACUCAUUUGUUUUGAUAAAUUAUUGAGCAAAGAAGGGUAUUUCUUUUAGUAGAGCUUUAAGCUUAACUACUUUGGCAGAAUUUGUUUGGACCAUAUGAUGAAUAAGUUGGGUUUUUUUUUAUCCUGAAGGGAUAAGUUAUCGAGAAGUUCUAUUACUGUGUAUUAGAUUUUGUCAAUCGCAGAAGGUUUGAUGCUUCGUUCAGCAAAAUACUGAAUAAUUGAAAAAUUAAAAACAAAUAAAUAGGUGCAUCGACCGAGCUGGCUUGUGCUGUUGGACAAGCAGAGCGAGCUUGACCCAACCAAUCACUAUUCCUAGAUAUGACAUUGUAAUUGGCAAAAUAUUGAACUUCCAAUAUUUUUACCAUAAGAAAUAAAAAAGAAGCAAGAAAAGCAAAAAUUAAAAAACCCAAAAUGCAGAAAAAGAUAAAAUAAAAUUUAGUUAACAGCAGCAAAAUUUUGCUAAUCUGUCUAAAGUCAAAUCAAAAGGGGCAUCAGUUUUAAAAAGCUCGAAUUUUGGAGCUUCACGGUUGAAUCAGCCCAAAAUAGUUAAAUCUCAUCAUCUGCCCAAUUCAAAACUUGAUUAUAUGCACAAAGUGGAAUCCAAUUUAUAAACGUAUUAAGAAUGUAAAUCGAAGAAUGAUGUAUCGUAUCGAGACAAAAGCGAAGCCUUUUACAGAAAGAACUCGCUUGGUCAGUUGAUCGAUAAUCAUCAAUUUUGCUGGUUCUCAGAAAGCAUCUUCUCAUGUGCAUCGAGACACCGCUUAACCAGCAAUUUUCUUCAAUUAUAUUUCCUCUGAAACCACAAAGAAUAAUUAAAGAAGAUGUUCAUCGCUCGACCAGUCUCUAAUUCUACACACAAACUUUUUGUGUGUUAAUAGAAGUGUCCAAGGCUCCUUGGAGGACAAAAGAUUGAGGACAAAGAGUCCGAUCAAAGAGCCCUAGUUUUGAGAUCCAAUGAAAUAGAAUCGAAUUUGUUAGUGUUGGCCUCCUAACUAAGCCAGAUGUGAAAAUUUAUAUAAAAUUGCACAUAUGGCUACUCAAAGAGGCGCUCCGCGAUACCGAUGUUCUCCACAUAGUGCUUGAUAGUGAUUUGUGUGUGUCACAGAUAAGAUCGAGAAAGGAGAGGGAUGCCGAAUGAAUGGAGGUUGGGAAGAAAUGAGAGCGUUGCCGAAUGAGUAUUUAUACAUGAUAUUGGGCUUUUAGGGUUUCGCCGGUGACAAUGGAGACACAUUUGGAAGCCCAGUCCAGAUUCACUAUUGUCAAUCAAUCUGUCAGAUUAGGGGAGCCCAGUAAAAGUAUAUAUAAUAUCCCACUGAUUUUUAUGUGUAUUAAAUUUUUAAUUCAUUUGAUAUUAUGAUCAUCGCAUUGCUCAAUAUGUUUAAACAAGGAAUUAUGUGCAAUAAUUUUAGCUACCUUGUUUAUAUAUUAACUACGCGUAGUGAUAUUCCAUGAUCUCCAAUUCAAAUAUUGUUUGAGUUAUGAUGAUCAACCUAAUAUUUGGCUCCUUCCUUUAUGAGUAAAUUGACGUUUCUUACUAUUCAAUAGUUUAUUUUAUUAAUCUUCAAGAUUUAAUUUAAUUUUUUUAAUCGAAAUUAAAGUUUUCCUUGCACAUAAAAAGAGUGCUUAACGUGUUGAAUUGAGCCGCUCUCUAUGAGAUUAUCACGGACACGACAACAAGGUCAGACUAUGGCAAUUACCUUCCUUUCUCGUCCAUGUUUUGAGUUUAUCAAUAUCUAUGCUAUUUAUUUUAUUUUUAAAGUUGGAACAAAUGCAAUAUUGAUGUCAACAUUGCUACCAGAUUCCAAAAUUUUGUAUUUUACUAUAAAUUAAACAAGCUAAAAAAAAAAAAAAAAAAAGUUAAACCACAACCUUAAGGGUCCCCAUCACCCUUGCCCUGGAGUAUCGUGAGGGAGGUAAAUCGCAGAUUAUGCCUCCAAGGAUACAGGAUGGAAGGCUGCUUGUACACUUGCACUUACCCAAGAGCCAAAUCCAAAUUUCAGAAUUCGAACCCUUGACGCAGCAACCUCAAGCAAAACUGGAUUUCUCGACCCUCCUCUUUUAACAUUUUGUUAUCAAGAGGUUCAAGUCAAAUUCAAGCAACUAAAAUAAGAAAAAUCACGAGAAUGAGAAGAAGAUCCUGAAAAACGAAUUAAUCAGAAAGGAAAGUAAUGACCACCCUAAUCAAAUAAGCAGAGCUGGUAACAAUGUCAGGUGUGAGGAAGAAAAGCUCUCAACUUUUAGUGAGAGAAACACUCACUUUAGUUGCUCCUUGCAUUUGUGAGCUCAUUGAUCUUAGUUUGAUUUUACCUUCAUAAAUUGGUAAUUUGAAUCCAGCAAUACAGAUUUUGUAAAAUCUAUCCACAAUAGUUGGGCAUUGUUCGUGGAAGAUUCAAGUUUUUCAUCUCCCUUGGAAGACUUGAAAUUGGUCAGCAGGUUAUGUGCACGGUUUAUACUGAGUUUUGUCCAGAAUCUUAGUGCUCAUCGUUGAAGAUUUAAUCAUCCAUUUCUUCAGAUUUUGGCCAGCAGAUUGGUGUUUUGCUCAUACGGUGCACAGGUUCGUGGAAUUUGUGUUUUUAGUUCGAACUCUACCUCUAUUAUCUUGGUAGUUUUCAAAUUAUUAAACAGGUUCUAGAUUGGAAUUAGUAAUUCUAGUGCUUGUUCAAAGUUCUUCUCCCUUAGCUUGGAAGGAUUUGAAUCUCAGUUUGCUUCUUCUCUUCCAUAAUCCGCGAGCAAUUUUGUACAACUAGACUAAUUGAGCAAUUUUUGUGAAGUUAAGAGCAGAUUCAAGUGCGUUCCAUGUUGCUUUUGGGCAAAAUAUUUGAAUUUUCCUUCCCCCCAUUUGAAAUUUUUUGAAUUACUUGACCGUUUUGUAUAAUUUAGUCUGUCCCAGUUUUAUUUAGGCAGUUGACUACGUCCAUUUUCGGCCGUUAACAGUCAACGAUCGCAAUAGCAAGAUCGUUCAUUAAUAAUUAACUGGAUAAUAUCAAAAAUUCUUCAAUUUAUAUGUAAAUGCCCUAAUUUAUCAUUUAUCACAAAUUUCCCCAUUUAUGAAAUAGUAAAACAAAGUAAAUUUGUAAAUCAUUUCUAAUUUUAAAUCAGAAUGCUCCAAUGCCAAACACAAACUAGUGCAUAUGCUGAUGCUGAUGCUGAUGCAGACCUAUUAACGGAUUAUACUAUUAAAGUAAAAUGAUGGCAAAUCAAGAAACUUCACUUCUUGAAACAUAUGAAAUGGGGUGUUGACUUAUGCUUUUAUAAAGACUCAAAUCAUAUCUAACAAAAGGAACUAUCCAUUUCCUAGCUAUGAAUCAGAGAACUGUUUUAAGUUACCUGGGCUGAAAAAGUUUGAGGAUAAGUUCCAUAAGCAUCUUUGGGGCACUGAUGUAGGUACUUGCUGAUGUGUAUAAUUUGUUCCAUAACUACUAUUUGCACCAUAUGCAGCCUAAAGAACCAAAAGAAAAAUAACAAAGUUCUGCAUUGGCAAAAGUCAGACUAAUGAUAAGAAUACAUCCAGUCAUAAUAUAUAAUGUAUAAAAUCAGUGUCUGUUAGCCAAUAGACAAAGUAUUGCUCUGCCUAAAAUCAUAAUACAACUAGAAAAGGCAAAACCCAUAACAUGCUUGAACUGUGAGCGGGAAAGUCACUGUAAAAGCACCGGCUCCGGUUAAAGUGUAGAACACAAGGAAAUAGGCAAACUCAACAAAGAAUCAAGUUAGCCAGGUCAGGGAUGCUGUGAGGCUUUUGAUGAAAAUUACCCAAAUCUAGCAUUGACGUGAUAUAUAUGUAUAGUUCUCAUUGAUUACCAGAAUUCCGCGAUGGUGAUAAGAAGAAUAUCAAAACCAAUAGAAUCUUCAUUACAGCAAAUAGAAUUGAUCCGAACUUGUAUCAAUUUGUAGAGUUUAGAAGGAUAAAAUUAAGAGGUUCCUGGAUUUUUAGAGUCUUUGCACACAGCAACAAAUAUUUAAACCUUCUCCAGAUCCAAAAACAAUGGUUUCAGAUGUAAUCCAAUUGUAAUGCCAAUAACAUCCUUUCUAUACAAAAAGAUUAGAAGCAAUAAGAGCAAAAUGAAAUUUAAUAAUAAAGAAAAGAAAUACAAUUUGUCAAAACACACUAUAAAGAGGAGAUAAAACAAAUAUAGGUCGUUAUCAUACAACACACACAACCAGCCCAACCAAAACAAAAUUUCAAAAAUCAUAAACGGAUAAACCUCAGUAGCAGGCUCAUAGUCAUUAAACAUAAACCAUAGAUACAUAAGUCAUAAAACAUUUCCAAUGAAAAUGGCAUUAAAAAAAUGAACUAAAAAAUAAUAAAUAAAAUAAGAGAGGCUCACACAGCGGUGGCUGCGGCAAGCAGUGGUGAAGGGUGGAGGCUCGACGUCGAUAGAUCACAACUCACAAGGCCGAAGGCUCAGCGUCGACUGUGCAAUCGGAG
rnacentral:lncRNA from 1 species